GACGAACGCUGGCGGCGUGCUUAACACAUGCAAGUCGAACGAAGAGCGAUGGAAGCUUGCUUCUAUCAAUCUUAGUGGCGAACGGGUGAGUAACGCGUAAUCAACCUGCCCUUCAGAGGGGGACAACAGUUGGAAACGACUGCUAGUACCGCAUACGAUCUAAUCUCGGCAUCGAGGAUAGAUGAAAGGUGGCCUCUACAUGUAAGCUAUCACUGAAGGAGGGGAUUGCGUCUGAUUAGCUAGUUGGAGGGGUAACGGCCCACCAAGGCGAUGAUCAGUAGCCGGUCUGAGAGGAUGAACGGCCACAUUGGGACUGAGACACGGCCCAGACUCCUACGGGAGGCAGCAGUGGGGAAUCUUCCGCAAUGGACGAAAGUCUGACGGAGCAACGCCGCGUGAGUGAUGACGGCCUUCGGGUUGUAAAGCUCUGUUAAUCGGGACGAAAGGCCUUCUUGCGAAUAGUGAGAAGGAUUGACGGUACCGGAAUAGAAAGCCACGGCUAACUACGUG
rnacentral:rRNA from 1 species